CGAAUACCCCUCCACGUGCGAUCUCACGCGAAACGGUAUAUAAAAUAUCGCGACUUUUGCGAAAAUACCGUUUUGCCACUACCGACCUCUCCUCGAUCAACGCGUGAUCUCCGCAGAUCCGUCCGUCAGAUUUGGGAACGGAUCGCACCAGUACGAUCAGUACGAGGGAGACAACAAAGCUACGAUUUUGUUUCGUCUCGAUCGACCACGGAUUCACGACAAAAUCCAACCUUCCUUUCAACAGAAGAAAACACACCUAAAUACAUAUAGAAUAUGUAUUUUUGGAUUUUCUCGAAAUUCGUGCGUCGAACUCAAAAUCCGUCAGCGCCAUUAGUUCCAGAACAGCUGAACCGGUCGAAACGAGCUAUUGGACCGCUAGGAACGGAGUCCGAUACGAGCCUGAAGCCAACUUCACACCGUGGCUUCUCCGGAAAAUCGAGUUACUAUUCACUUUAAGUGAAACUUGGAAAUCGCGUAGAAUUUCCGUUUUAACUCGUUUUCGCCCGAAACUUGACGAGUGCUUUUGUAAUUAAAUUACACACAAAAACAUCGUCAACUAAGAGUUUAGCUACACUGCAAAAAUCUCAGUCCUUAUAACAAGGUUAGGGUUUCCUCCAUGAAACCCGAAAUGACACAAAACGAUAUAUAAAAUGUCGAGCUUUUCGCAAAAUUACCGUUUUGCCAUUAAUAGCCCCUUCUCGAUCAACGCGCGAUAUCAAGAGAUCCGUCUGUCAGAUUUGCGAACGGAUCGUACCAGUAUGAUCAGCACAACAGAGACAACCAGUCCAUAAUUUUGUUUCACCCGAUUUGGUUGUGGAUUCGCGACGAAACCCAUUCUCUCUCCGAAAUGCAAAACCACGCACAAAUACAUUAAAUACAUGUAUUUUCAGUUUUCUCAAAAUCCGUGCUUCAAACCUGAAAUCUGUCGGCGCCAUUUGCUCCAGAAUAACCAAACCACUGAAAACGAGCUAUUGGAACACUGUGAACGGAGUUUAAUACGCAUCAGAAGCCAUCUCUAUUGAUUAGCCUAUCCGAAAAACCGAAGUUACUAUUCACUUUAAGUGAUUAGUAACGAUCGCGUAACUUCUCUAUUCUAACUCAUUUUUUGCUGAAACUUGACGAGUACUUAUGUAAAUAAAUUACAUACAAAAAUAUCAUCAACAAAGAGUUUAGUUACAUUGCAAAAUCUGUCCUUACACAUACAGAAUUAUGCUAUUAUACUAUCAAUAGUACCAAACCCUUGGUACUAUUAAGUUUUCGGCCGUUGGAUGAAAAGAUGUGCGGUUAGGAUGAUAGCGGUUCCCGGUUAAAUUGAUAGUGGUCCCCUAGGGUUGAGUGGGUGGUUGGUUUAAUAGUAUAAUCUAACGGGUGAAAAUGAUCAAAGGGUAGAUCUAACGGUAGAAAACUCAAUAAUAUUAAGGGCUUGGUACUAUCGAUAGCAUAGUAGCCAAACUAUACAUAUAUAUAUAUAUAUAUAUAUAUAUAUAAAAGCGUACAGGAAUUCCGACAAUGACAGACGGAAUCCAAAAAAGAAUAAAAGAAUAUUUCCUAUAUUUCUUACGAACGGAUAUAAUCACUUAAUUAAAAAAAUCUUAAAUAAGAACGAACGGUUUAUAAACGGAUAUGAUCACUUAAUAAAAAAAAUCACAAAUAAGAACAAACGGUUAUGAUUAAUCUGUUAAAAAAUAGCAUUCUUAUUCAUUUAUAAAUUCAAUUCUACGAACGGUUGUGUUAAUUAAAAAUAAAUGGUUUACUUAAUUAAAAAAAUCUCAAAUAAGAACGAAUUAAUCUGUUAAA
rnacentral:lncRNA from 1 species